AGCAAUAAUGAGCGUUAACAGUAUCUGCUGCUUUAAAGAAAUCAAUAUCAGAAUGCCUCUGAAACUUCUGGAGUCUUAUUUCUGGACAAGCAGCAGUUGCCCUUUCAAACACAUUGUAUUUGUAACAGUUCCAGAUUCCAAGAAACAGAAGAAAGAAGAGAUUCAGAAGAAUCUAUUCUGUAUGGACCCUGACUAUAAGUGGGUCCAACGGGCCAUUAAGUACUUAGACA